rnacentral:misc_RNA from 1 species
GGGGGAAAUUUGGUGAUGGCACAAAGAAAACAUUUUCCUUCAGAUAUUGUUACCAUACUUCUGGCAGCUGGUUCAUUGGUUGAAAUAUUAACAGGUACCAUGCGUGAAAAGCUUACAUUGGAGGAGUUUUUGGCAGGGGCUUCCUUUGAUUCCAAAAGUGUGCUCUUAAAUGUUAAAAUCCCAAAUUGUGAAUCAAUUAAGAAUAUAUCUCCUGAAAGAAAUAGCAAGUUGUUAUUUGAAACCUAUCGAGCUG